rfam:Triticum aestivum genome assembly, contig: Triticum_aestivum_CS42_TGACv1_scaffold_432950_5DL
GGUUUAGAGGUGGAGCUCCUUUCAUUUCAAUGAAGGGUCUACCGGAAGGGUUUGUGCAGCUGCUUGUUCAUGGUUCCCACUAUCCUACCUCUGUUAGAAAACGAGGAGAUAGGCUUGUGGUUUGCAUGACCGAGGAGCUGCCUCAAUCCCUCGCUGACCGCUGUUUGGCUUGAAGGGAGCUCUGCAUCUUGAUCUA